UACGAAGGGGGGCUAGCGUUGCUCGGAAUCAUUGGGCGUAAAGGGUGCGUAGGCGGCGCGGUAAGUCGGGUGUGAAAUCUUGGAGCUUAACUCCGAAACUGCAUUCGAUACUGCCGUGCUUGAGGACUGGAGAGGAGACUGGAAUUUACGGUGUAGCGGUGAAAUGCGUAGAUAUCGUAAGGAAGACCAGUGGCGAAGGCGGGUCUCUGGACAGUUCCUGACGCUGAAGCACGAAGGCCAGGGGAGCAAACGGG
rnacentral:rRNA from 1 species